rnacentral:rRNA from 1 species
GUGACUAUAUGUUAAACGGCCGUGGUAUCUUAACCAUGCUAAGGUAGCGUAAUCACUUGUCUUUUAAAUGAAGACCUGUAUGAAUGGCCCCACGAGGGCUUAACUGUCUCCCCCUCCCAGUCAAUGAAAUUAAACUUCCCGUGCAGAUGCGGGAAUACGCGCAUAAGACGAGAAGACCCUUUGGAGCUUCAAACCCAAAUUUAGUUAUGUAAAACAUCUCCUGCAGACAAAAACUUAAUAAUUUAAAUUUAGGGCUUUAGGUUGGGGCGACCACGGAGUAAAAUUAACCCUCCACGAAGAAGGGGCCUUAAAGCCCUGAAACCUCGACGAUCCUGUCCAAGUAACAGAACCUCUGACUUUAUUAGAUCCGACCCACAAGUCGACUAACGGACCAAGUUACCCUAGGGAUAACAGCGCAAUCCUCUCCCAGAGCCCAUAUCGACGAGGGGGUUUACGACCUCGAUGUUGGAUCAGGGCAUCCUAAUGGUGCAGCCGCUAUUAAGGGUUUGUUUGUUCAACGAUUAAAGCCCUACGUGAUCU